rnacentral:rRNA from 1 species
GGGGAUGACGUCAAGUCCUCAUGGCCUUUAUGCCCAGGGCUACACACGUGCUACAAUGGGCGGUACAAAGAGAAGCAACCUCGCGAGGGUGAGCAAAUCUCAAAAAGCCAUCCUCAGUUCGGAUUGGAGUCUGCAACUCGACUCCAUGAAGUUGGAAUCGCUAGUAAUCGCGGAUCAGCAUGCCGCGGUGAAUACGUUCCCGGGCCUU